GUCAGGGCCACCUGAUGGAUAUGGAUUGUCAGGGGGCCCAGUCAGUGCUGGGCGCUUUAACAGCACAACCGGGGCCCCUGUGAUGAGAUUACACAGAGCUGGGAGGAAGUGACUGCACGUCACUCCUCCCAGCUAACACUGAGAGCCGAGCGGGAGGAAGACCAGGGAGUCAGAGUGGGAACUCUGACUCCCAUCCACCUGAG